rnacentral:rRNA from 1 species
UUUCCCUACGGGAGGCAGCAGUGGGGAAUAUUGCACAAUGGGGGAAACCCUGAUGCAGCAACGCCGCGUGAGUGAAGAAGUAUUUCGGUAUGUAACGCUCUAUCAGCAGGGAAGAAAAUGACGGUACCUGAGUAAGAAGCCCCGGCUAACUACGUGCCAGCAGCCGCGGUAAUACGUAGGGGGCAAGCGUUAUCCGGAUUUACUGGGUGUAAAGGGAGCGUAGACGGCGAUGCAAGUCUGAAGUGACAGCUCG